rnacentral:rRNA from 1 species
CGGUGGAGCAUGUGGUUCAAUUCGAUGCAAACCGAAGAACUUACCGGGCUUGACAUGCUGGUGGUACCGACCCGAAAGGAAGGGACCCAUGGCCUUCGGGCGCUUGGGAACCGGCACAGGUGCUGCAUGGCUGUCGUCAGCUCGUGUCGUGGGAUGUUGGGUUAAGUCCUGAAACGAGCGCAACCCCUGCUGCCCGUUGCCAACGGACCCUGCGGGGUGCCGGGGACUCAGGCGGGACUGCCGGCGAAUAGCCGGAGGAAGGAGGGGAUGAUGUCAAGUCCUCAUGGCCCUUAUGUCCGGGGCUACACACAUGCUACAGUGCCCAGCACAAUGGGUCGCCAACCCGCAAGGGGGAGCCAAUCCCAUCAAAACUGGGCAUGGUUCGGAUUGCAGGCUGCAACCCGCCUGCAUGAAGCCGGAAUCGCUAGUAAUCGCGGGUCAGCCACACCGCGGUGAAUACGUACUCGGGGCUU